rnacentral:lncRNA from 1 species
GAAUAUUAACAAAAUUUGAAAUGAACAAAAUGAAGCCAAGAACGUUAUAAAAAUGGAUGGAAAAGUAGAUAUUUGUUAACACAAUAACCUACUACAGCUUAAUUUCUUCGCGUCUACACGCAUAGAAAACCAAAAGGAAACUUGCGGUUUCGUUUUUUCUCAAAGCACGUUAAUUUGAAUAUCGCUAGGGUUUUCGUUUUUAUACGGAAUAAAUUAUUCAAAAAAACGAAUUUUUCUACCUGGAUGUCCAGCGACCGAUUCUUUUUUUCAUUGGAGCACCACUUUUCGUUCGUGUUCCAGGCCUCCGCGCACACAAACAUGGAGGCAUGUGGGACGAUCAAGAUUUAAGGCCGGUUUCGAAGAUUUAAGAUCUAGUCGCGUUGCGUUACGAACAUUAUUUAUUUUUGCAAAAUGUUGCAGGACUUGACACGAACCACCGUGAAAAAAAAAGAAAAGAAUACACGCAACGGUUGAAAGUUGAAAAACAAGUCCAUGGAAGAAGAUAAACUUCUACUUGAAAAAAGAAUAUGUCUCGUGAAUCGUCUUACUUCGACGUGUCUUUGAAUUCGUGGCAAUAUUGAAUUUUAAUUGAAGAACAUUGCCGGAAAGCAAGAAGUGGUUCGAUUAAAACUGAUAGAAUGUCAUAUUAGGAAUAACACGGGCUCAAAGGCAAAAAGAAUGUAAAAUAUACCUUCCAGCAUUUUCUUAUCUGAAUAACCACGAUCGAACAAGGAAAAUGUAAUCACGAUGGAGAGUCAUUAGACGAUGAGAAAUUUUCGAAAGUUUCAAUGGAAUCGUGCUCAAGCAGGAGACUUAUCAAAGGGGGAGACCUAUGGCGGCUGUCUGAUUCCUAGCCCUGCGAGUUUGAGGGUCAAUCGAUAACGAAUCUAAAUAUUGGCUUCGCCUUUUACUUUUAUCAACGUGCACAAUCCUUAAGUGCCAGGCCGAUCGUAGUUCUUCUUGUAUAUUAUGUAUACAGGAAAAAUCGUAAAACCAAGAUGAUGACGAAAAAUGAGGUCAUCGUUACAAGCAGUCACCCUCCUACGAGUAUUAUGAUGUAACAGAACUGGACACUUUAACAAUUUGCAACGGCGAAUA